rnacentral:rRNA from 1 species
GACGAACGCUGGCGGCGUGCUUAACACAUGCAAGUCGAACGGAAAGGCCCCCUUGUGGGGUACUCGAGUGGCGAACGGGUGAGUAACACGUGAGUAACCUACCCUUGACUUUGGGAUAACUUCAGGAAACUGGGGCUAAUACCGGAUAGGAGCUCCUGCUGCAUGGUGGGGGUUGGAAAGUUUCGGCGGUUGGGGAUGGACUCGCGGCUUAUCAGCUUGUUGGUGGGGUAGUGGCUCACCAAGGCUUUGACGGGUAGCCGGCCUGAGAGGGUGACCGGCCAACUUGGGGAUGGAGAACGGCCCAGAAUCCUACGGGGGGCAGCAGGGGGGAAUAUUGGCAAAUGGGGGGGAGGCUGAUGCAGCCACCGCGGGGGGGGGAUGGCGGCCUUCGGGUUGUAAACCGCUUUCGCCUGGGACGAAGGGGGGGGGGCGGUAAAGGGGAAAGAAGCACCGGCUAACUACG